rnacentral:miRNA from 1 species
CAAGGCUUAUGGGUUAUUCUUAA